UAGUUAAUGUUAAAUUAGGUCUUAGGCCUAACUCACACCCCAAAAGCUAGCUCAAAGGGAGGAGGAUUGCCCAAGCCUUAUAAGGAGUCCACCCAUCUCAUUAACCACCGAUGUGGGACUUUUGUCAUUCUUUAACACCCCAGCUCAANNNNNNNNNNNNNNNNNNNNNNNNNNNNNNNNNNNNNNNNNNNNNNNNNNNNNNNNNNNNNNNNUGUUAAAUUAGGUCUUAGGCCUAACUCACACCCCAAAAGCUAGCUCAAAGGGAGGAGGAUUGCCCAAGCCUUAUAAAGAGUCCACCCAUCUCAUUAACCACCGAUGUGGGACUUUUGUCAUUCUUUAACAGUUAAAACUUAUAAGUGUUAUUUUAUGGUUAUGUUUUAGCAGUUAUUUGACGUGAUAAUUGAUAGUGAUGAUGGUGAAUAUAGUAAUAAAGAUAGGCAUGGUUGUCGUCAUGCGAUGAAAGGCGGUCAUGGAGUUUUUUUGUAAGAUGGCGGAGGUGAUUGGUGGUGAAAACGGUGGCCGAUUUAGGUAAAUAUUGAUGAUGGCUAGUUGGAGAUGGUUAGUGCUUUAGUGGUGUUAGUAUGUAAUUGUUGUGAGUGCGACAAUUUGAUUCUCUAGAGUUGAGGCAAACAAAUUUUUAAACUCCGUUACAAUUGGAGAAGCUUAGUAACUUAAUUGAUCGAUGGACUAUUUAAAUUUUCAUCUUAUUAAUAAGGAUUUGAUCACCAGUUAAAAAAAUAAACAAACAAAAAACUCCUAUAUAUUACAAUUCCAUUAUUUGUUGGUUGCAUAUAAUUGACCAUAUAUAUGUUGUUGUUUACUAAAUGUGUGGAAUUCCAAAGGGAGACAAUGUCAAUAUCAUUAAGAUUCAAGUAGAUUUGCUGAAAUUAUCAAAGGAAUAUUAUUUGUGCUUGAGAAAGCUCAUUUAUAUAGUUUGCCUUGCAAAAUGACAAAAUUAAAGUAUCUUUUAGUAAUCGACAAGUAGUGUGGCUUUUUUAAAAUAAAAAAGUUUAGAUUUUUAAAUGAUAUGAUCACACACUUCACUAUAACAUAAAAUUAAAGCUUCUCAGAUCAAAUUUUAUCGUUACUCAAAUAUCAUGUGUUUAGACAUGACAAAAAGAUUCAGACGUGCACGUGAGGAGACAGGGUGAGAAUAAUAUUAAUAAGUAAAUAAAAAUCUAGAAAUGAAAAAUAUGUAAAGGAUCGAAACACGUAAUUGGUCGUUGGCCCCUAAGAAGACAUUUCUUAUCAUAAAGAAUACCUUAUUGGUUCGAAUAUCCGUUCUAACAUAUUUACAAAUUGAUAAGCAAUAAAUUAACUGAAUAACAUAUAAAAUCAAACCAAAUAUACUUAUAAGUAGCCCUAAUUGUUAGUGUUGCAUGAUACCUUGCACAGUGGCGGAGCCACAUAUACUUGAGGGUUGUCGAUCAACACCUCUUUGUCAGAAAAUUAUAUUGUUUAGUUAGGUAUUUUUUUUUAUUAUGUAUAUAUAUCACAUAUAUUGACACUUCUUGACUUCUACACAAUUUUACUUCUUUAUAUUUUGACAAAUCUGAUUCCGUCACUGUUUUCACAUACCCAAGAAAAAGAAAAUACAAAUUCUAUGAAAUUAAAAAUUGAGCAUGUAGAUCAUAUUAAAAUUAUGCCUAUCGAGUUAAAAUUCUAAAUCUGGCUUUAAUCAUCAUUUUACCCAUAAUUAAUGUGCAAAUUUGUGGUUAAUUAUUAAUUCAGGUUGAUUCUUCUUUUCUUGUUAACAUGAUGAAAAUAAAUAAAUAAUAAAAAUACCGCAGUGUGAUAUAAAUAAUUAAUUAGAAGAUGAAUUUAACACAAUUAACAAAUUUAAUUAAUUAUUACGUAGUCUAAAACCCUGUUAAAGAUAAAUCUCAUAAUAUUUUAUUUUCAUUUUCAAUGGAAAUGAGAUAUGUAUAUCAAAUGCUUUAUUUCAACUCCUAUCUUGAAAAUAUGCCACAAGUAUUAAUAUAUUAUUGUUACUAAACCCUAUUCUUAAUUAAUUUUUGGUUAAGAUAAACAUCAACAUACCAACUUCUUACUUAAGCAUGAUGUGAUCUUUUGAAGAAAAAUAAAGUAAUGGCACUAGAUAGAUGUCUAAUUGUAUCAUAAACUCUGUUUAACACGCAUCUAUUAAUCAUAUAUUAUUAAUCAAGAUAUAGUCUAAUAAGAAAAAUAUUAAGACACCAUUAGACUACAUGCAUUUGAUCAUAUGAUUGUAUAAUAAAUUACAUACUAUUAUUAUUGCAUGUGCGAGCAAAAUCAACGAUUUAAAAGAAGAAGAGUUAUAUACAAAGAUGUUAAAUUAGGUCUUAGACCUAACUCACACUCCAAAAGCUAGCUCAAAGGGAGGAGGAUUGCCCAAGCCUUAUAAGGAGUUCACCCAUCUCAUUAACCACCGAUGUGGGACUUUUGUCAUUCUUUAACACCCCACCUCACGCCCAGUGCUUAGCAUCUGAUGCGUGGGCAAUUUUUGAUUUUGGGGGUCCC
rnacentral:lncRNA from 1 species